UGGGGAGUUGACUAAUGGUAAGUCAGCAGACUCUGACUCUGCCUAUUCGGGGUUCGAAUCCCUGCUCCCCAGCCA
rnacentral:tRNA from 3 species